ACUUUCAAUGUCGGCAUUUAUUUCCUCACUUUUUUACGAAGUGAUGGCCUGAGUUUUGGACUUUUGACAUCGUGUUUUUUAUUUAUUUAAAUACAUAGCCUAAGCAGCACUUGGGCCAGACUAAGGGCAAUGCACAGGGCUCUUCAGCUGUAAACAUAUGAGAGAUGUGUGCGAUUAUGUUUUGAAGGGAGGGGCUUGCGCUUUGUAGUAGCCUAUUAUUGAAUACCGUGGAGCAGACCGAUCGGAAGGCAGAUUCUGUCUCUCUACAUUGACUGGCCUGCUUCGUGGUUGUUUGCUAACCCGGUGAAAGAACAAUCGUUUACUUGCUGAACUCAAUAGAUUUGAGACCCUCCUCUUCCUCAACGUGGAACAGGCCGAGGCUGGAGUGACUGACAGACUGACUGACUGGUGCUCAGAUUCUCUCUCUCUCUCCAGGGCGUAACCAUGGACGACGACUUUGAGCGGCGCAGAGAGCUCAGGAGGCAGAAGAGGGAGGAGAUGCGCCUGGAGGCUGAACGGAUGGCCUUCCAGGGUAGUAAUGAGGAUGAGGAGGAGGCUGCAAGGGAGCGUAGACGCCGGGCACGUCAGGAGAGGAUGAGAGGGAUGGGAGGCGAGGAGCCCAGUGACAGCGUGGUGAUGACCAACAGCCACAGUGUGACCGAGACUGUGUCGGUGUCCUCCUCCUCUGUGACCUCCUCGGGUGGAGGAGACGAUGAUGAGCAGGCCCUGCUGGAGCGCAUGGCCAAACGAGAGGAGCGCAGGCAGAAAAGGAUGAUGGACGCUCUGGAGCGAGAGAAGGAUCAGAACCCCGGCAGUGCCGGUAACCACGGCAGCGGGGAGAAUAGUGUGGAUGAGAGGUCCGUCGGCCGCAGGGGCCGUUACCAAGACAACGAAGAAGAGGUGGAAGAGCGGAACUGCCGAAAGGAGGAGGAGGGGAAGGCUGCUCCGGAGGAGGAAGAGGCUGAGCAGGGAGAGGAAGAGGAGGAAGAGGUUGUGGAGGAGAAACCGAGACGAUCCUAUAUGAGAGAACAGGAAUCCAUUGACGAGAACACUAGAGACGAGGAAGAUACAGGAGAACAAGCGGUGGUUUUAAAUGAGGUUAAGGAAUCAGUCGACUCAGAGGCAGAGGUUGAAGAAGAUGCUGAAUUAAGUGAUAAGGUAGAGGAACCAGAUCAGUUAGAGGUAGAGGGCACGACAGUGACACCGAACAAUGAGACUGAGGAAGACUGUGACAUAUCAACAAUCCAAAACGGCUUGGAUGUGGUGAAUGAAAAGCAGAAUGGAGGUCUGCACGAGGAGACUCCUCCAAAACACAAAAAAACAGAAAGGACCCUGAGCCGCGGAAGCGUGCGCUCCCCGGAGGUGGGGGCGGAGGAGGAGCAGGACGACGCGGCGAACCUGGAGGCGGAGCGCAAGCUGGAGGAGCUGAAACGGCGCCGUGGCGAUGCGGAGAGCGAGGAGUUCGAGAGGAUGAGACGGAAGCAGCAGGAGGCUGAGCAGGAGCUGGAGGCGCUGAAGAAGAAGAGGGAGGAGAGGAGGAAGAUCAUAGAAGAGGAGGAGAGACAGAAGAAACAGGAGGAGGCCGAGAAGAAGGACAGAGAGGAGGAGGAGAAGAGGAGGAUGAAGGAGGAGAUAGAGAGGAGGAGGGCGGAGGCGGCCGAGAAGAGACAGCAGAUGGGGGUGGAGACUGUCGACGGAGAGGCCAAACCCUUCAAAUGCUUCAGCCCCAGAGGAUCCUCCCUCAAGAUUGGUGAAAGGGCAGAGUUUCUGAACAAGUCGGCACAGAAAAGCACGGUGAAGACGUCUCACUCUCCUGUCGUCUCUAAGAUUGACAACAGACUGGAGCAGUACACCUCUGUUGCGCAGAACAAGGAUAUGCGGUCCCCACGCUCCGGUGCCGUGGACCUGCCAAUGGUGACAGAUGGGAUACGUAACAUCAAGACCAUGUGGGAGAAAGGCAACGUGUUCAACUCGCCCGGGGGCGGCGGGGGCACGUACAAGGAAGCAGCUGGGAUGAAGAUAGGUGUGGCGGGCCGCAUCAACGACUGGCUGAAUAAAACCCCCGAGAGCAAAACGCCGGGAGGAAGGCCCGCGAAGCUUCUUCCAUUCUUCAAUCUGACUGUUUCUCAUUUCCUCUGCGAGAUCAGCACCUCUCUGCCUGGUAGUCCUUCUCUCUUUUUUUCCUUCUUCUUCCCGCUGGACUUCUCUUUCUGCCUCCUCUCCUCUCAUCCCUUUUCUCAGCACCUCAGGAUCUGAAGCCAGGGGAUGUGACUAACAAGAGAAGUCUGUGGGAAAACAAGGGAUCCUCCCCAGCCAAGAGCUCUGAAGAAGAGCUCUCUUAGCUAGUUGACUUCACCGUUAACUAGUCUGGAAACCCUGGAGAGGUGACUGGUAGAGGGGAGAAUAAAUCUGUUGCCAAUGGUAUGGGACACGAAUGAUUACAAAGAGCUUCUUCUGAAGGCUGGUGGGGACCAAGACAAUCCAAGACUCUUCCUUUUUCUAUGUGUAUUAUACCAAAACAAUAUGACCACCACCCUGAGGGAACCCAAGGAAUGGAGAGAAACAGGAGAUUUUAUUUAAUAAGCACUGUACUGAAACGAAUAGCCACCAUCUCGUAUCUACAGUGUAGUGCCUUUGCACAAUGAAUUUGCUAUGAUUUACUUUCUCAACAAACAAAAUAAUAUGCUGUGAAAUUUGCAUGUUUUUAUGACAUGGUGAUUUGUUUUAUAUGUAAUAAGAAAAAACUUGCAGAAUAAUUUUUUUUUAAAUUGAGAUUAGAUGUAUUUCCCAUACGCUCUUCAGUACGUGUGUACUUUUGAUAUAGUAGAGACAUGGUUUUUAUGAGGUUUCCAGUUCCACAAUCAUCUCCGUGUUCCAAAGAGAGAUAUCUACCAUCAAUGCUCUGUCCAUGUCGUCCAUCUCACUUCUUUUUUUUUAUUUAUAUUUAAAGCAAAGCUUCACACAUAGCUUAUUUUAUUCAUGUUCACCAGUUCAGGAGAGAGAUUAUAAGCACUCCGUAGAUUUGGCUUAUUUCACUUUAUUUUGUCUUACCGAUAGUGCAACAACGGUCUGAGUUCAUGUGUGUUAGCACAAAAGUACACGUCGUUAUGAAUAUAUUACUCUGUAUCUUCUAUUACAGCUUUAUACUCAAGAUUUUGUUUCGCUUUUGUACUCUAAACUUAAAUGACUACCAACCGACAAGAGGCAAUGAAAGGCAGUGCAAGCAACUAAAGGAAAGUUGUAUAUUAAGACGGCUAUUAUAACGUUUAUUAUCCUCGUUUCAAUUUAUUUAUGUUUUUUUUUUUUUUACGUGUUUUGUCAUUGGCUGUUUUUGUGGCUUUUGUACCUGCUGUUUUUGAAUCUCUAAAUUCACUUUGUUCAACUUUCAAACAACCCAUAAUGCAGCAGGUGUACUUAAGAGUUACAUCGUCAUUUUAGGGACUCUCUGACCCACAACAUUCCACACCACUAAGCACACCGCCGGGCUUAUUCACAUGCAUGCUCCAAUGGCUUCUAUCCAGGAUGUUAAGGACCUCCGCGUUGUCAGUGAGGUUGUCUGAAUAUAGCAGGCCAGAUACACAUUUAUACAUCGUGCCUGUACCUUGAGACGGCAUCAGUUUUAAGCCGUAUGCCGCCUUGCCAUUUAAGCCCAAAUCCCAUGUACUAAUAACUAUAGGACUCUGGAAGAAGGGAACGUGCACAUUUAGAUGUGGACAAUGAUCGAGGCUUGAAUCCGUCAACAGAAGACACAUUUUGACUCCAGACGACAAUUGCGCUUGACGCUUGUUUUGAGUUUUCUUAAAGUUGCAUUUGCGGUAUGUAAGAUUGUGUUUCCAGCACAAAUCCUUUACAUCCAAAAUGGUCUCAAGGCCUUGUUGUUGCAGGCACCGAAUAAACUGUACCUUCCACUUUGCCAACUCAGUUUGACUUCAGCUGUUUCUUUCUUCUUCUCUUACCGUUUCAUUAUUGAGGUUUAUGCGUUUCACGUUUCGCUCAUUCAUUUUGCAUGACAUGCUUUGUUGAUCUGGGUAUUAAAUAAAGGUUAUCAGGGGCAUUGAAAGAUUGUUCUGUGUAAACCUUGACAAUUACAUUCCGCGACUCCUUAGAACUACAAGCAAUGGAGUCUGACCCAAAAUAUAUGACAUUAUUUUACAUUGCUGUUAUUUCAUAUUUGGGUAAUUUAGCUUUUUAUUUCAAACACCCUCAUUUAUUGUGUAGAGUUAACUAUGCAAGGCACACUAUCUGCGGUUUCAGAUCAAACUUUGUGAUGGGAGUGGGUAGUUUCCUACAGAAGAAAUGUUCUGAAAUAUUUGUACCGCUGACUCAACAACCGCAAUAAAGAGAUAUAAAUUGUU